GAGAUUAUGCAAGAUACUGCCUGAGUUUCCUCCUACCAGGGAUCCCUGAGAAAUAUAUUUAACAUUAUGCUUAUUCUUAGGGUGAAGUUGUUACUGAGUUAGCUUCUAAUGAUUGUUUCUGAUUUCCUACUACUAUACAUGAAGAAAAGGGUCUGCUUUCCACCAAAUGGAACUUAGGAAAGCUCCAAAAAAUCCUGACUCAACCAUUUUCAAAAGGAGCAGGUCCCACCCACACCCCUGAGAAGCUACUGAUUCCUUCUAAAUACCUCUGACUGAGUUGAGUGAAAGCAUCAAUAUCCACGAAGCACUAUGCUAGAAAUGAGGACAGCAAAGUCAUGAACAGAGAUACAGUGUAAGGCUCCACUGACAUGGGCAUGCAGACCGUUUUGCUUUCCAAAGAAAACUGAAGACCAGCGCCUCUCCGGAAAUCCUUCAGACUUUCAGUAGCAGCUUGGGACUGCUGAGGCAUCCAGGUUUGUGACGCAUCCAAAAAAGGUUCAGCUUUUAGACGCACAAUUACCAUAUUGCAAAAACUGGGGACAACAUCUGGGAUGAGGAAGAAAGCAACAGUGAACGGAAAUAGAAGUUCCUUUUUUUUCCAUGCUGGAAGUUGGUAAAAGGAAAAUACAGAAUUUACACCCGUGUGUGCAAA